rnacentral:rRNA from 1 species
UACGGAGGGGACUAGCGUUGUUCGGAAUUACUGGGCGUAAAGCGCACGUAGGCGGAUUUGUAAGUCAGGGGUGAAAUCCCGGGGCUCAACCCCGGAACUGCCUUUGAUACUGCGAAUCUCGAGUCCGGAAGAGGUGAGUGGAAUUCCUAGUGUAGAGGUGAAAUUCGUAGAUAUUAGGAAGAACACCAGUGGCGAAGGCGGCUCACUGGUCCGGUACUGACGCUGAGGUGCGAAAGCGUGGGGAGCGAACGGG